GAAGACAGCCAUGCCACCCUGAACAAACCUGACCCCAUCUGAUCUCCGAAGCUAAGCAGGAUCUGGCCUAGUUAGUACUUGCAUGGGAGACCACCUAGGAAGACCAGGUGCUGUAGGCA
rnacentral:rRNA from 1 species